rnacentral:tmRNA from 1 species
GGGCGCGAAUAGAUUUCGACGCGGAUUAUGGGGUGCACGUGGCAUGCCGACCCGUCAUCAAGUCGAAAACUGAUGGCAAAAAACCAAACGGCGAAUCUUACGCCCUAGCUGCUUAACAAUAAGCAGCCGCCAAGCGGGCGACGCCUACUGACCCGUAAGGCGCCAAUUAGCAGGCUUUGCCGAACCGAGUCCUCCUCUGCGAGGCUAGGCGAGAACCAGUGAGGAUAGCCGGCGUUUUAUCCCGUCCCCGGGAGCCGACGACGGUGAAAUUCAAAACGGGGAACAAGCAUGUAGAUGCGUGCAUGAAGUAUUCGCGGACGAGGGUGCAAUUCCCUCCGCGUCCAC